UUUUUGGGAAAGUUGGGAUAUAAUUAUUUUACUGUGUACUGCAAGUUCUUGAUGCAUGUACGAUCCCUUGUACUGUUUUGCCAAGUUGUGGGUUCCUCUCCGGAAGUUGUUAACCAUUCUCUCCAAGACCCCUAAAUAUUGGAAUCGACGAAAAAGCUUGGCCACUAAACUAGAUUGCAAAGACUGAAAAAUUUAGGAUAUGUAAUUGUUAAAAUUGAGAGUGCAGGGGUAAAUAUGCCUUAAAGAUAAGAGUUUAGGAUACUAAAUUGAAAUUAACGCUACUAAUAUAAUACAUAUCUUGUUUUUUUAAGGAACUAACAAGUAAAACAACACAAUCCCCAUUUUUGGAUGCUUAUAUAAACUGUGCUUUUGGGUUGUUGAUUCGGAGAUUUUAAUAAUUUUUUGGGCUGUGCAUAUUCUCUCCAGAUCAAUUCAAUUUGUUGCUUUUGGUCAUCGGAAAAGUUGUAUCUAUAUUUGACACCUUAGUUGCUUUGUACUUAUUUUUGUUUAUAUAUCUUAUCAAUAAAAUAUUAUCGUUCCUUUAUAAUUUAAAAAAAAAAACAAAUAGAAACAAAUUUGUAACCUAUUAACUUCAUGUUAGUCGAUUAUCAAGCUCAUUUAAUGUUGUAAAGGAAUAUUGAGGCUAUAGCUAGUUUCUGCCAAAUUGGUGGAGUCUUGUGUGAUGUUUUAUUAGAUCCUUUCCUAGUUGAGAGUUGAGACAGAGAAAGAAAAACAACUAUCCUCAGAUAUUUUUAAAUUGUGGCUUAUUGGUGGUUCAGGAUCGAUAUAUUUAGUAUGGUUAGCAUCAAAUGAUUGGACGCCAGGAUUUUGAGUUGUGUUUCUUGCCAUGAGUUUUUUUUUUUUUUUUUUAAAUAAAUAUUAUUUUUUAUUUUUGUUUUUAAUAAUCAAAGUGGAAGUUGCAAAAGUACAAAAAGAAAAUAAAUAAAUAAAUAAAUAAUCUUAGUGAUAAUAGAAUGGUAACAUUGGGGAAAACAAAAAAGAAUCC
rnacentral:lncRNA from 1 species